rnacentral:rRNA from 1 species
GACGAACGCUGGCGGCGUGCUUAACACAUGCAAGUCGAACGGAAAGGCCCUGCUUUUGUGGGGUGCUCGAGUGGCGAACGGGUGAGUAACACGUGAGUAACCUGCCCUUGACUUUGGGAUAACUUCAGGAAACUGGGGCUAAUACCGGAUAGGAGCUCCUGCUGCAUGGUGGGGGUUGGAAAGUUUCGGCGGUUGGGGAUGGACUCGCGGCUUAUCAGCUUGUUGGUGGGGUAGUGGCUUACCAAGGCUUUGACGGGUAGCCGGCCUGAGAGGGUGACCGGACACAUUGGGACUGAGAUACGGCCCAGACUCCUACGGGAGGCAGCAGUGGGGAAUAUUGCACAAUGGGCGGAAGCCUGAUGCAGCAACGCCGCGUGCGGGAUGACGGCCUUCGGGUUGUAAACCGCUUUCGCCUAUGACGAAGCGUGAGUGACGGUAAUGGGUAAAGAAGCACCGGCUAACUACGUG